GCCCCAAUAGUUCAAUGGACAGAACAUCGGUCUUCUAAACCGAUAAUCGGGGUUCGACUCCCUGUUGGGGCACCA
rnacentral:tRNA from 1 species